GUGACGAAGCGACGCCGCGUGGGUGAGGAAGGCCUUCGGGUUGUAAAGCCCUGUCAGGAGUUAAGAAAUAUAAGUGCGCUAAUAUCGCAUUUAUUUGACGAAGGCUCCAAAGGAAGCCACGGCUAACUCUGUGCCAGCAGCCGCGGUAAUACAGAGGUGGCAAGCGUUGUUCGGAAUUAUUGGGCGUAAAGAGCACGUAGGUGGGUUUGUAAGUCAGAUGUGAAAGCCUCCUGUUCAACGGGAGAAUUGCAUCUGAAACUGCAAGUCUUGAGUGUAGGAGGGGAGAAUGGAACUUCUGGUGGAGCGGUGAAAUGCGUAGAUAUCAGAAGGAACGCCGGCGGCGAAAGUGAUUCUCUGGCCUAUUACUGACACUCAGUGUGCGAAAGCUAGGGGAGCAAACGGGAUUAGAUACCCCGGUAGUCCUAGCCGUAAACGAU
rnacentral:rRNA from 1 species